rnacentral:lncRNA from 1 species
CAGUCAUUUAAUACAUAGAGGUAAACACGUGAUCAUACAUACAAUGAUACAAACGUUUAAUUGUUUGAGCUUUAUUAUUAAUCACAGAUUGAAGUGGAAUCGAGUGAAGAAGGCUGAUAAAUAAUGUCUGUGUUUAAUCAUUCUUUUCAGAAGCCUUGCUUGCACUGUGAAACAGUACCACACACAAAAGAAGACUGCAAGCACAGGUGUACAACCAGAAGAAUAUAAGCAAACACAGAGGUUCUAAUUCUAUCAUGUUUUACAAAAAUAAUGGACUCGAUCUGCAGAGUAUGUAUAACACCGGCAAUCCUUGCAUCUCCAAAGAGAGAAUGAAAAGAAAGCUAAAUAGAUGCAACAUUUUGGGAUAGUUAUGAAUUAGAGUCUAAAUCACUAUGAUAUAUUGGUAUGCGCCUUUCUUUAGCAGACUAAAGAGGAAAUUCUCAGUCAGCAUUAGUCAUCAGGAGGAAGUCUAGAAAUUAUGCCACAGAGGGUCACGUGUAAUCUGUGGGACAGAGUGGAGCCUCAGAAGCAAACUCAUGAAUGGAUGAAUGGACCUGGAGUUUAAACAUGGGGUUGAGACUUUUCACAGAGCCGGCAAAUAGGUGUGUCCAGUCAGUGUUUCGGGUCCGGAAUCGGUGUUCCAACCUCCGCCGCGGAAGAUGGAGACCCACAGUGCAUUCAUUCACGCUCAUUCUCUGUCUGCAGCCUUGGACAUUUGCUGCUUUUUAAUUUUGACAUUAAAAUGACUGGCAACAUGUUCUUUUUAGCUAGCAAAAAUUGCUAGUGCGUUGCUUUUUUUCAUUUAUUUUAGUAGCACUCUCUCUUCAACGGAGAGGCCAUCAUGAAGAAACUGGGCAUUGAAUUUGACAACACGUGCCAGUGGAAUGGAAUCUCAGGUUUCUGUCCUUGUCAGACAUGUUCUGAAGUUUAUCGAAUGAGAUUGUAGCUUUUUCCUGAUUAGGUGGCUUCUGGUACAUGUCAGUGUUUGUUUGUCUUUGUCUUUUCUAAUGUGUUUAUUUUAUUGGGAAUUAAGGGAGGGGAGUUCUAUGACCCCAUUUCUUUCUUUGAGUUUCACUUGCUUGCAGUAAAUUCUGUAUAUUCUUUUACUAGAUUCCAC